UACGUAGGGUGCAAGCGUUAAUCGGAAUUAUUGGGCGUAAAGCGCGCGCAGGCGGUCCUUUAAGUCUGAUGUGAAAGCCCACGGCUCAACCGUGGAGGGUCAUUGGAAACUGGGGGACUUGAGUGCAGAAGAGGAGAGUGGAAUUCCUGGUGUAGCGGUGAAAUGCGCAGAUAUCAGGAAGAACACCAAUGGCGAAAGCAGCUCUCUGGGACGGUACUGACGCUGAGACGCGAAAGCGUGGGGAGCGAACAGG
rnacentral:rRNA from 1 species